UAUCAUAGUAUAAUUCAAUAGCGACUAAACAAAUGUUCUGUACGGUGUUUCUUUCCAAUAUUCGUAUUUUUAUUUUUAUAUAAUUUGGCAUAUUGGAGCUUAUUUCUUAUGGGCGUACAUCCCAAUUCUACGUUCUAUUCUGUUGAUGGUUAUAAAUUCAAUGGAAUACAAAAUUGCAUUUUCUGACUACACAUUAGUUUGGAAAGUGGACUUGGGUGUACACUUAUUGUGGGGACUAUACUUUAAUAAAUGCCUAUGUGGACAAUUACCUGUAAGAUGGUUGACUACCCCAGCAUAUCCUAAAUACAAACAAUACAGGUUUUCUACACCCUACGAAACAAAGAUGACAAAUAAGAGCAAGAAAAAAUGAAAGAAGGUGGCCAAGAUCCCGAAAAUAGUUUAAUCAUACGAUGGUUAUACCAAAAUGUGAUCAGUUUUUGCAGGGAUGGUUUCUUCUCAAAUUACCAACAUUUGCCGAGAUUAGUAUGAAAAAUAUAUAAUAAAAAUGUAAAAUAUACUUAAAAUCGGGUUGUACCCUUAUAUGAGGGUUAUGACCCAUAUAAUGGCCUACAAAAGUGGUGUAAGUUAUCUUGAACUUUAAGUAAGCAUUUCUGGAAGGAUAUAAAUCUCUUUCUUAUCAAAUUUCAAAUUCAAUCUACUAUUUUGCAAUAUAUAUAAAUAUAUAUAUAUACAAAUGAACUCAAUUUUUUUUCUAGUUCUUCAAUUGAAGCGCCAAGGAUUCUUCCAAUGUUCCCAGCGUAUUACAUUUUCAACAGUUUACUCAUUAUGUUGCUUGCCCUUCACAUUGUUUGGACGUACAUGAUACUUAAGAUUGUAAUAGAUUCUUUACAAAAGGGAUUGAUGUCUGGUGAUAUAAGAUCGAGCGACAGCGAAAUUUCUGAAAGUUCGGAAAGCCAAAAAUCGCUCAAUAAUGGUGACGUUAAACCUGUAGAUAAAAUACAAAAGAGAGCUCUAACCAAAACAGAAUAACCAAAUAAGCAAAAUUAUUUCCUCCGUUUGUAUUUCUUUUGUAUGUUAUGUACAAACUAUGUAUGUUGUAGAAUAUUUAAAAAGGUUUUUAAUGUCAAGAAACCACGUAUAAGUAAAUUUAUUUUGUACUAUAAUAUUGGAAUAAUAAAUGUUUAUUUUAUUGUUGCUUAUAAUUUAAAAA